rnacentral:sRNA from 1 species
CAGAGAUAGAGGAAUUGUAAU